rnacentral:rRNA from 1 species
UACGUAGGGCGCAAGCGUUGUCCGGAAUUAUUGGGCGUAAAGAGCUCGUAGGCGGCUGUUCAAGUCGAACGUGAAAACUCGGGGCUCAACUCCGAGCCUGCGUUCGAUACUGAAUGGCUAGAGUCUGGUAGGGGGAGUCUGGAAUUCCUGGUGUAGCGGUGGAAAUGCGCAGAUAUCAGGAGGAACACCGAUGGCGAAGGCAGGUCUCUGGGCCAUAACUGACGCUGAGAAGCGAAAGCAUGGGGAGCGAACAGG